rnacentral:rRNA from 1 species
CAGCAGCCGCGGUAAUACAGAGGGUGCGAGCGUUAAUCGGAUUUACUGGGCGUAAAGCGUGCGUAGGCGGCUUUUUAAGUCGGAUGUGAAAUCCCUGAGCUUAACUUAUGAAUUGCAUUCGAUACUGGGAAGCUAGAGUAUGGGAGAGGAUGGUAGAAUUCCAGGUGUAGCGGUGAAAUGCGUAGAGAUCUGGAGGAAUACCGAUGGCGAAGGCAGCCAUCUGGCCUAAUACUGACGCUGAGGUACGAAAGCAUGGGGAGCAAACAGGAUUAGAUACCCCCGUAGUCCCUGUCUCUUAUAC